rnacentral:lncRNA from 10 species
GGCGGCGGCUCCGGCUUUGGGGAGGGGGUGCGGCGCUGGGCCCCCUUAGCUGGAGUGCAGGCUCCGCCCACCCUUUGGGUCUAACCUCCGCGUUCCAAAGUUCCAGCUCCAGCCCUGCGCACUUGGGGACUUCUGCGUGAGGGUCUCUCGCCCCGGCCACAAAUCCCGAGCCGCACCUCUUAAUCGAGGCUCAGGCGUCCCGAGCGGAUCCCGCUUUCUUUUUUCCCUGUGCUGUUUGCAGUCCCACGGCCUCGCACAGAGAAAGUGCCUGACCCCAAGACCUGUGAUGAGACCGCCUAUUUUGUUUUUGUUAUAUACUAAUAGAUAUAGAUAUAUAGAUACAGUCAAUUAUCUGUAAAAUCGGCCAUGUCUCUGCCACCUGGGUAAAAAGGUGUCUCGAAAUUGGGGGCGGAGUCUCUUUUCUGACCCUACCCAAACGCACACAGAAACAACCCCAACAUUUGCAGAGCCCUUAAGCCUGUACACCCAAUGAGGAAUCGCUGGUUAGAGGCCGCGUGAAGGACACCCUGACCAAGCUGGGUCCUGCCCAUGCCGGUAGAUCGUCCAUGGCUUCCCUUGGGGGCUGCCACCCACUGUAAACCUGAGCAAGUUCCUCUCCUGUUCCGAAGCCUGCCCUGGCAAAGCCCCAGUACAUAUUCCAAUCCUGCUCUAGGGAGACUCCUAUGCAUUCAUCAAGGUCCAGCUCAAAUCUGGCCACCCUCAGUGGCUUUUCCUGACGCUCUCAGCAGAACCAAACCUCCAGCUUUGUUAUGUGUUGGUGUUGCAGUACACAUGCCGGGGAACUCGUGGUGAUUUGGAUCCAGUUCAGGCACCUGAAGCCCAGUUAAAGAGAAGGAAUCUUCAGUCUUUUCUCUCUCAGCAGAUACAGCCGGGCACGGUGGCUCACACCUGUAAUCCCAGUACUUUUAGGAGGCUGAGGCAGGAGGAUCACUGGAACCCAGG